ACGCCAGUCUGCAUGGAGCCGACCUUGAAAUACCACCCUUUAAUGUUUGAUGUUCUAACGUGGACCCGUAAUCCGGGUUGCGGACAGUGUCUGGUGGGUAGUUUGACUGGGGCGGUCUCCUCCUAAAGAGUAACGGAGGAGCACGAAGGUUGGCUAAUCCUGGUCGGACAUCAGGAGGUUAGUGCAAUGGCAUAAGCCAGCUUGACUGCGAGCGUGACGGCGCGAGCAGGUGCGAAAGCAGGUCAUAGUGAUCCGGUGGUUCUGAAUGGAAGGGCCAUCGCUCAACGGAUAAAAGGUACUCCGGGGAUAACAGGCUGAUACCGCCCAAGAGUUCAUAUCGACGGCGGUGUUUGGCACCUCGAUGUCGGCUCAUCACAUCCUGGGGCUGAAGUAGGUCCCAAGGGUAUGGCUGUUCGCCAUUUAAAGUGGUACGCGAGCUGGGUUUAGAACGUCGUGAGACAGUUCGGUCCCUAUCUGCCGUGGGCGCUGGAGAACUGAGGGGGGCUGCUCCUAGUACGAGAGGACCGGAGUGGACGCAUCACUGGUGUUCGGGUUGUCAUGCCAAUGGCACUGCCCGGUAGCUAAAUGCGGAAGAGAUAAGUGCUGAAAGCAUCUAAGCACGAAACUUGCCCCGA
rnacentral:rRNA from 4 species